rnacentral:sRNA from 1 species
CCCAGAUCCGGAGGUCGCGGAGAGCUGGGCAGCGUUGGCCGCUGGCGGAGCGCUGGGGCAGCAUGAAGUGCCUGGUCACGGGCGGCAACGUGAAGGGUGAGUGCAGAUCGGCCUGGCAGCGGCGGUGCAGGAGCCGCGGAGCCACCAGCCUAACCCCCUUCCGCUCUCCUCCCCGCAGUGCUCGGCAAGGCCGUCCACUCCCUGUCCCGCAUCGGGGACGAGCUCUACCUGGAACCCUUGGAGGACGGGCUCUCCCUCCGGACGGUGAACUCCUCCCGCUCUGCCUAUGCCUGCUUUCUCUUUGCCCCGCUCUUCUUCCAGCAAUACCAGGCAGCCACCCCUGGUCAGGACCUGCUGCGCUGUAAGAUCCUGAUGAAGUCUUUCCUGUCUGUCUUCCGCUCACUGGCGAUGCUGGAGAAGACGGUGGAAAAAUGCUGCAUCUCCCUGAACGGCCGGAGCAGCCGCCUGGUGGUCCAGCUGCAUUGCAAGUUCGGUGAGUGGGCAGCCGGCCAGCCAAGGGGUGCCUCAGCAGGGAGGUCAGUGAGGCCCACUGAGACCCUUUCGCCCAUCCAGGGGUGCGGAAGACUCACAACCUGUCCUUCCAGGACUGUGAGUCCCUGCAGGCCGUCUUCGACCCAGCCUCGUGCCCCCACAUGCUCCGCGCCC